rnacentral:rRNA from 1 species
CCAGUGAACAAUUUAACGGCCGCGGUAUCCUAACCGUGCAAAGGUAGCAUAAUCAUUUGUCUACUAAUUAUAGACCAGCAUGAAAGGCAAAAUGAGGGUCCGACUGUCUCUUAUAAUUAAUCAAUUAAACUGAUCUCCCAGUAAAAAAGCUGGGAUAACCACAUAAGACCAGAAGACCCUGUGAAGCUUAAACUACACUAUUAAAUCCUAUAAUAGCCACUUUCGGUUGGGGCGACCUUGGAAAAAAAAAGAACUUCCAAACAAAUGAUAUAUACAUCACCAACUUAGGCCCACAAGCCACCUAACGACCCAGCAUAGCUGAUUAUUGAACCAAGUUACUCCAGGGAUAACAGCGCAAUCCUCUUCA